CCCUCUCCUCCUUCUGGGUGGGGGCAGAGGGUGCAUCAGCCCCAGAGCCCUGGCUCCCGUGCCCUCAGCAGGUCCCCAGCGCCAGGACACAGGCAGGGUAGGCCGGACCACUCACCGCUUUCUGUGAGGGGAGAGAACAGAGGCCAGCUAGACUGCAGCCAGGCCCUCGUGGUCCCCAGCAGCUCAGCGGGCUCUGUUAGGGGGUUCUGGGGAGGUUUGCACUUUAUUACUAUUUCCUUUAGCUUGUGGUUAAGAGCCCAGGCUCUGGAGCCAGACAGCCUGGGUUCAAAUCCUGGUUCCACCACUAACUGUCAAGUUCGUCAAGUUUUAACCCUGCUGUGACUCAGUUUUUCCAUCCGAGAAGUGGGUAGGGUCGGGUGGAUCCCUGGGACAACCUUAUUUAGUUUAUACAUUUAACAAACACUCAUAGGAAGUCUACUGAUGUGCCCAGUAUGGUUCUAAGCACUUUGCAGAUAUUAACUCAUUUGAUCCUCCUCUCCGUACCUGCUGAGGGGGUUGUCCCAUUUUACAGAUGAAGCAGCUGAGGUUCAGAGAGGUUAAGUACCUUGGCCAAGUCCACAUAGCUAGUAAGAGGUGGACGCUGCCCAGCCUCCUGUGAGAUCCAGAGCCUUUAGAAAGACCUUCCUCCACGUGGACGCACCCUCAGGGCGAACUGAGGCUUUGGGGCAAGCUGGCUGCCAUGUCAUAAGAAGAGCCGAGCAGCCCUGUGAAGAGGCCUCCAGCCAGCGAGCACGGCAGCGAGCCACGUGAGCAGCAGCUCCUCAAUUUCCGGUCAAGCUCUCGGGAUGACUGCCGCCCCAGCUGCCAUCUUGACUGCAGCCUCAUGGGAGACCCUGAGCUAGGCUGCUCCUAGAUUUCUGACCCACAGAAAGUAGGAAAAUAAACGUUUGUUGUUUGAAGGCACUACA